UCCGCAGGUUCACCUACGGAAGGAUCAGUG
rnacentral:rRNA from 1 species